rnacentral:siRNA from 1 species
UCAAUCUCGGGUAUAGCAAU